rnacentral:rRNA from 1 species
UCUCAAGCAUAAUAAGGGCAUCUGGUGGAUGCCUUGGCGUCAAGAGGCGAUGAAAGACGUGGCACUCUGCGAUAAGCUACGGUGAGCCGAGAGCAGGCUUUGACCCGUAGAUUUCUGAAUGGGGAAACCCCACCCAAUAGGGUGAUCCUGUCGUGAAUACAUAGCGGCAGGAGGCGAACCCGGUGAACUGAAACAUCUCAGUAACCGGAGGAAAGGACAUCAACCGAGACUUCGCUAGUAGCGGCGAGCGAACGCGAACCAGGCCAGUGGCUUAUGCAUAAGAACCGGAACGAUCUGGAAAGGUCGGCCAUAGUGGGUGAUAGCCCCGUACGGGUAGAAAUUGCAUAAGUCCUCGAGUAGGGCGGGACACGUGAAAUCCUGUCUGAACAUGGGGGGACCACCCUCCAAGCCUAAGUACUCCUUGACGACCGAUAGUGUACCAGUACCGUGAGGGAAAGGUGAAAAGCACCCCGAUAAGGGGAGUGAAAUAGUUCCUGAAACCGGAUGCCUACAAGCAGUUGGAGCCUCUUUAUGGGGUGACAGCGUACCUCUUGCAUAAUGGGUCAGCGAGUUAGUCUUACAAGCAAGCUUAAGCCGAUAGGUGUAGGCGCAGCGAAAGCGAGUCUUAAUAGGGCGAUUGAGUUUGUGGGAUUAGACCCGAAACCAGGUGAUCUAGCCAUGAGCAGGUUGAAGGUGAUGUAACAGUCACUGGAGGACCGAACCCACGUCUGUUGAAAAAGACGGGGAUGACUUGUGGUUAGGGGUGAAAGGCCAAUCAAACCUGGAGAUAGCUGGUUCUCCGCGAAAUCUAUUUAGGUAGAGCGUCAGACGAAUACCAUCGGGGGUAGAGCACUGAAUGGGCUAGGGGGCCUUACCGGCUUACCAAACCUAAUCAAACUCCGAAUACCGAUGAGUACUAUCUGGCAGACAGACUACGGGUGCUAAGGUCCGUGGUCGAGAGGGAAACAGCCCAGACCGCCAGUUAAGGUCCCAAAGUUGUGGCUAAGUGGGAAAGGAUGUAGGACGGCCAAGACAACCAGGACGUUGGCUUAGAAGCAGCCAUCGUUUAAAGAAAGCGUAACAGCUCACUGGUCUAAAUAAGCUGUCCCGCGCCGAAGAUGUACCGGGGCUCAAGCCACACACCGAAACUGCGGACUUGUUCUUUGAACAAGUGGUAGCGGAGCGUUCCGUAAGCCUGUGAAGGUGUGCCGUAAGGCAUGCUGGAGGUAUCGGAAGCGAGAAUGCUGACAUGAGUAGCGAUAAAGGGAGUGAGAACCUCCCUCGCCGAAAGCCCAAGGGUUCCUGCGCAAGGCCAAUCCGCGCAGGGUGAGUCGGCCCCUAAGACGAGGCAGAAAUGCGUAGUCGAUGGGAAACAGGUUAAUAUUCCUGUACCCGUGAGAAGUGACGGCCUCUGGAAGUAGUUUUUCCUUAUUGGAUUGGAGAAGCUGCCAAGGAGGUCCAGGAAAUAACUCUCACAUAUGGACCGUACCCCAAACCGACACAGGUGGGCAGGUUGAAUAUACCAAGGCGCUUGAGAGAAUGGUGUUGAAGGAACUCGGCAAAUUGCCCCCGUAACUUCGGGAGAAGGGGGCCCACCGUGAAGGCAACUUUACGGUGGGGGCACAGACUAGGGGGUGGCGACUGUUUACUAAAAACACAGGGCUCUGCGAAGUCGCAAGACGACGUAUAGGGUCUGACGCCUGCCCGGUGCCGGAAGGUUAAGAGGAGAUGUGCAAGCAUUGAAUUGAAGCCCCGGUAAACGGCGGCCGUAACUAUAACGGUCCUAAGGUAGCGAAAUUCCUUGUCGGGUAAGUUCCG